ACUWAAGAUUUAUCGGUUAUGGAUGGGGAUGCGUCUGAUUAGGCAGUUGGUGAGGUAACGGCUCACCAAGCCCUCGAUCAGUAGGGGUUCUGAGAGGAAGGUCCCCCACAUUGGAACUGAGACACGGUCCAAACUCCUACGGGAGGCAGCAGUKAGGGAUAUUGGUCAAUGGACGAGAGUCUGAACCAGCCAAGUAGCGUGCAGGAUGACGGCCCUAUGGGUUGUAAACUGCUUUUAUGCGGGGAUAAAGUCACCUACGUGUAGGURWAWWRCAGGUACCGCAUGAAUAAGGACCGGCUAAUUCCGUGCCAGCAGCCGCGGUAAUACGGAAGGUCCGGGCGUUAUCCGGAUUUAUUGGGUUUAAAGGGAGCGCAGGCGGGCGAUUAAGCGUGACGUGAAAUGUAGAUGCUCAACAUCUGAGUUGCGUCGCGAACUGGUUGUCUUGAGUGCAGUCGGCGCCGGUGGAAUUUGUGGUGUAGCGGUGAAAUGCUUAGAUAUCACGAAGAACUCCGAUCGCGAAGGCAGCUGGCGAGAGUGCAACUGACGCUAAUGCUCGAAAGUGCGGGUAUCGUGCAGGAUUAGAUACCCUGGUAGUCCGCACGGUAAUCCCCSUUUUCCCGCUGUUUGCGAUAUAUUGCAGGCGGCCAAGCGAAAGCGUUAAGCWUCCC
rnacentral:rRNA from 1 species